UACAGAGGUCUCAAGCGUUGUUCGGAUUCAUUGGGCGUAAAGAGCGUGUAGGCGGCCAGAUAGGUCCGUUGUGAAAACUCGAGGCUCAACCUCGAGACGCCGAUGGAAACCAUCUGACUAGAGUCCGGAAGAGGAGAGUGGAAUUCCUGGUGUAGCGGUGAAAUGCGCAGAUAUCAGGAAGAACACCCGUGGCUAAGGCGGCUCUCUAGUACGGUACUGACGCUGAGACGCGAAAGCGUGGGGAGCAAACAGG
rnacentral:rRNA from 1 species